rnacentral:rRNA from 1 species
UAGAGUUUGAUCAUGGCUCAGGACGAACGCUGGCGGCGUGCUUAACACAUGCAAGUCGAACGCUGAAGCCCUUCGGGGUGGAUGAGUGGCGAACGGGUGAGUAACACGUGGGUAAUCUGCCCUGCACUCUGGGAUAAGCCUUGGAAACGAGGUCUAAUACCGGAUAGGACACAUGGCCGCAUGGUCUGUGUGUGGAAAGUUCCGGCGGUGCAGGUUGAGCCCGCGGCCUAUCAGCUUGUUGGUGGGGUGAUGGCCUACCAAGGCGACGACGGGUAGCCGGCCUGAGAGGGUGACCGGCCACACUGGGACUGAGACACGGCCCAGACUCCUACGGGAGGCAGCAGUGGGGAAUCUUGCGCAAUGGGCGAAAGCCUGACGCAGCAACGCCGCGUGGGGGAUGACGGCCUUCGGGUUGUAAACCUCUUUCGACAUCGACGAAGCCUUCGGGUGACGGUAGGUGUAGAAGAAGCACCGGCUAACUACGUGCCAGCAGCCGCGGUAAUACGUAGGGUGCGAGCGUUGUCCGGAAUUAUUGGGCGUAAAGAGCUCGUAGGCGGUUUGUCGCGUCGGCCGUGAAAACCUGCCGCUUAACGGUGGGCGUGCGGUCGAUACGGGCAGACUUGAGUUCGGUAGGGGAGACUGGAAUUCCUGGUGUAGCGGUGAAAUGCGCAGAUAUCAGAG